AUUGAACGCUGGCGGCGUGCCUAAUACAUGCAAGUCGAACGCAGUGGGGACGGGUGAGUAACACGUGGGUAACCUCCCAUCAGAAGGGAUAACACUUGGAAACAGGUGCUAAACCGAUACUGAUGGAUGGACCCGCGGUGCAUUAGCUGGUUGGUGCGGUAACGGCUAACCAAGGCCACGAUGCAUCGCCGAUCUGAGAGGGUGAUCAGCCACACUGGGACUGAGACACGGCCCAGACUCCUACGGGAGGCAGCAGUGGGGAAUCUGCGGCAAUGGACGAAAGUCUGACCGAGCAACGCCGCGUGAGUGAAGAAGGUUUUCGGAUCGUAAAACUCUGUUGUUAGAGAAGCGGUAUCUAACGAGAAAGCCACGGCUAACUACGUGCCAGCAGCCGCGGUAAUUC
rnacentral:rRNA from 1 species